GGAAGCGUGCCCGAACGACUUAAGGACUACUUUGAUAGAGUAAACCACGGGGGCCAAACUCCCCCCGCUUCCC
rnacentral:tRNA from 1 species